CGAACGCUGGCGGCGUGCCUAAUACAUGCAAGUCGAACGAGAGCGACCGGUGCUUGCACUGGUCCAUCUAGUGGCGAACGGGUGAGUAACACGUGGGUAACCUGCCCAUCAGAGGGGGAUAACAUUCGGAAACGGAUGCUAAAACCGCAUAGGUCUUCGAACCGCAUGGUUUGAAGAGGAAAAGAGGCGCAAGCUUCUGCUGAUGGAUGGACCCGCGGUGCAUUAGCUAGUUGGUGAGGUAACGGCUCACCAAGGCCGUGAUGCAUAGCCGACCUGAGAGGGUGAUCGGCCACAUUGGGACUGAGACACGGCCCAAACUCCUACGGGAGGCAGCAGUAGGGAAUCUUCCGCAAUGGACGCAAGUCUGACGGAGCAACGCCGCGUGAGUGAAGAAGGUUUUCGGAUCGUAAAACUCUGUUGUUAGAGAAGAAUAAGUGCUAGAGUAACUGUUAGCGCCUUGACGGUAUCUAACCAGAAAGCCACGGCUAACUACGUG
rnacentral:rRNA from 1 species